AUAUUUACCUGGCAGGGGAGAUACCAUGAUCACCAAGAUGGUUUUCCCAGGGUAAGGCUUAUCCAUUACACUCCAGAUGUGCUGACCCCUGCAAUUUCCCUAAAUGUGGGAAACUUGACUGCAUAAUUUGUGGUAGUUGGAGAUUGCAAUGGCACUCUCCCC
rnacentral:snRNA from 1 species